UUGCAGAAUUGCAAUGGAAAGAAAGUUGGAAAAGAAAAUGAAAAAAGUUAUAUUGGUAUUAAAGUCGAGAGACGAAGGGUCAUCAUUGUAAGACGCAGUCACAACAGAAAAGUAUAUGCAUGGUAAACAAAAAGAUGUGAAAAAAGUUGUAAAAAAGGACAUGGAGGUGAGGAAUAAUAAACGGAAACAGGUGGAAACACCAAACAAAGGUGUUGGUGAGGUGCACAUGGUAAAGAACAGAAGGUUAUCAACAUCUAAAGUUGGUGAUAAAGAUGACAAUGUUGUUGAUGGUUAAACAUAAAAAAUUGGAAUGGGCAACGAGUGAUAAUUUCAACGAUUGCGGUGUGUUCGCUAUGCGACACAUGGAGAUGUACAAAUGGAGCGAUGUCAAGUUUGAAAG